rnacentral:rRNA from 1 species
UACGGGGGGGGUAAGCGUUGUUCGGAAUUACUGGGCGUAAAGGGCUCGUAGGCGGCCAACUAAGUCAGACGUGAAAUCCCUCAGCUUAACUGGGGAACUGCGUCUGAUACUGGAUGGCUUGGAUUCGGGAGAGGAAUGCGGAAUUCCAGGUGUAGCGGUGAAAUGCGUAGAUAUCUGGAGGAACACCGGUGGCGAAGGCGGGACUCUGGGCCGAUACUGACGCUGAGGAGCGAAAGCGUGGGGAGCGAACAGG